rnacentral:rRNA from 1 species
UACAGAGGUCUCAAGCGUUGUUCGGAUUCAUUGGGCGUAAAGAGCGUGUAGGCGGCUAGGUAGGUCCGUUGUGAAAACUCGAGGCUCAACCUCGAGACGCCGAUGGAAACCAUCUGGCUAGAGUCCGGAAGAGGAGAGGUGGAAUUCCUGGUGUAGCGGUGAAAUGCGCAGAUAUCAGGAGGAACACCGGUGGCGAAGGCGGGUCUCUGGGCCGAUACUGACGCUGAGGAGCGAAAGCGUGGGGAGCAAACAGG